rnacentral:hammerhead_ribozyme from 1 species
AUUCGGCUGACGAGUCCCAAAUAGGAUGAAAUGCAUGUGUUCUGAAU